GGGAGAAAGAGACAAAUUUAAUCAGUCGAGUGUGUCUCCUCCACACGACAUCACCAGCAGUACUUCAGUUUGUCAUCCGCUGUAUCAUCUAGAUCAGAGUACUUUCAGCUCGCUACUAUGGCUAACUACGGCGUCAUGCUGCUGUUGGCGGUUGCAUCAAUGAUGGCCGGAUCGACCAAGGGAGGACCUGUUGGCCCGUCUCCUGUUUACGCCCCCAAGAAGGCAGAGUACGCCACCGAGGCUCCAAAGUACUACACCACAAAAGCUCUUGAGUAGUAUACAACGGCAUCCUACUACACCACUGCAGCCUCCUACUACACCACUGCAGCCUCCUACUACACAACUGCAGCCUCCUACUACACAACUGCAGCCUCCUACUACACAACUGCAGCCUCCUACUACACCACUGCAGCCUCCUACUACACCACCAAGACUCCCGAGUACUACACAACGGCUUCCUACUACACCACCAAGCCUCCUGAGUACUACACCGCUGCCCCCUAUUACACGACAAAGGCCCCUGAGUACUACACCGAGGCUACAAAGUAUUGCACCACCAAGGCUCCGGAGUACUACACCACUGCAGCCUCCUACUACACCACCAAGGCUCCCGAGUACUACACAACGGCUUCCUAAUACACCACUAAGGCUCCAGAAUACUACACCACUGCUGCCUACUACACCACCAAGGCUCCAGAAUCCUACACCACUGCUGCUUACUACACCACCAAGGCUCCAGAAUACUACACAAAUGCCUCCUACUACACAACAAGAGCUGCUGAGUACUACACAACUGCCUUCUACUACACCACCAAGGCUGCAGAGUAUUUCACCGAGUCCCCGAAAUAUUACUCGGCUCCAAGCUACACCACUGAAGCUUUCAAGUAUCACGUUGCGCCAACUUACUACACCACAGCUGCCCCAACUUACUACGCAGAGCCGACUUACUACACCGAGGCACCUCAAUACUAUUCAGCCCUGAGCCACUACGAGACCGCCGUUCCAGAUCACUACACCUAUACUGAGGCAGUUUACUACACAGAAGCGGCAGAAUACAAAACCACGACAUACGCCGCUCCGAGCUACUACCCUAAGGCCCCCAAGUACUACUCUGCCCCGAGUUACACCACCACAGCGGCUCCUUACUACACCACUGAAGAGCCUAAAUAUUACGUUGCCCCAACUUACUACACCACCUCUGCUCCGUCUUAUUACGUCGAUCCGACCUCUGAAACUCCGAUUCACUACGAAUUAUUCUCAGAGGGAUGAAAAGAAUGGAUAAGAGAAGAGAAACACAUUUUUCGUCAUUUUAUUAUUCAUAUCCGGAAUUUGUGUGUGUCUAUUUGUGUCUAGCUGGCCCAGGAGCAGAUUUUAAAGACAAAUAAGGGCGUGGAAUCACGAGGAUAAGCAACUAUUAGUGCGGUAACACUCCUCUAGCAGUGGGAAGAAAAGGGGGAGGAGCAGCAGCAGUUGAACGAAUCAUUGCACGAGGUACGGGCAUCCGAGAUCGAACCGAAGGGUGAGCAGCUUGAGGAAUUCUCAAGCUGCCUGCUUGAGAAAUUCUCAAGCUGCCUGCUUGAGAAUUCAACUGCUGCUCCUCCUCCUGUUCGUUCAACUACUGCUCCCCAUCCUUAUGUUCGACCUUCCAGAGUGAAUCGUUUGACCGCACCAACAGUUGCUUAUCCUCGUUGGAAAUAAGGGUUUCCUUUUGAUUGUUGAUUGUAAAAAAUUAAAAUGUGAUCACGAAAUGUUUUUCAAGUUUUAUCAUAAAUUAAAAUUAAGAUGCCAAAUUACUGUUUUUUAAAAUACAUUUUUGGGGUUUAUCGACCGGAGACUGGAGCACGAUAUUUUUUUGUUUGUUUUUGUUUAUGACCUUCAGUGCUCUGGUUGGGUGGGUACAAUUAUUAUUUAAAAAAUACAGAAGAGAAAUGGAGGACUAUAGAAUUUUUCUCAGGUUCUCAUAACAACUUUGUUUAUCUAAACUUGCCCUUGAGAGAACUUUUUCAGUGAUGGUAAACAAUGAAUAAUAAUUUACAAGCGAAAGAUAUUCCGUUUUUUAAUCUGAAAAGGCUAUGAAAACUGAUCGAAAACAUAAUACUUAUUUUCUUUUUUAUUAUUAAUAAGGUGAGGACUGACUGCCUGACACUAUAGACUGGAAAAUGAUUUUUUUUAACAAGAAAAGUCAAGACAUUUUGAUUUUUUUGUUUUUACACUAACCGCAAAAAUCUCUUUUAGUUUCAAAACAUGUAACAGCGCUAAAACUGACAUUCCACUGAUUCCACUGAUGUUGUGCCUCGCUGUGAACAAUGUAAAGCUGUUGUAAAGCCAGAUGCAGUGUUUUUUGGCGAACCGCUUCCUGAACGCUUUCGAUUGGUGGAAGAAGAUUUUCCGAAUUGUGAUCUACUGAUUAUAUUAGGAACUUCACUAGUUGUUCAGCCCUUUGCAUCUCUUGUCGAUCGUAUUCCGCCUAGAUGCCCGCGUCUUCUGAUAAAUUUCGAGGAAGCGGGAAACGAAGACCCUGUUAUGGUUGUUCUUGGUUUCAGUUGUGGGUUGCAGUUUCAUGGAGCUGACAAUUUCCGUGACGUUGCUUGGCUUGGUGAUUGUGACGAAGGAUGCUUUCUAUUUGCAGAAAAACUUGGUUGGAAGGAUGAACUAAAUUCAUUGAUUGAAAAUGGAUGUGAAAGCGAAGAUUCGCGAAGAUUCGGUAGAAACAGGUGCUACUGAAAGUACCUAAUAAUAGACGCGGCAUUAAUAGUCUCGUAACAAAAGACUUAUAAACGUCUCGUGAAAGUA